rnacentral:rRNA from 1 species
AGAGUUUGAUCCUGGCUCAGAACGAACGCUGGCGGCAGGCCUAACACAUGCAAGUCGAGCGCCUCAGCAAUGGGGAGCGGCAGACGGGUGAGUAACGCGUAGAUACGUGCCCUUGGGACUGGGAUAGCCACGGGAAACUGUGGGUAACACCAGAUGAUGUCUCCGGACUAAAAGUGUGAUUCUGCCCAAGGAUCGGUCUGCGUCCUAUUAGCUUGUUGGCGGGGUAAUGGCCCACCAAGGCGACGAUGGGUACUGGGUGUGAGAGCACGACCCAGCUCACUGGGACUGAGAUACUGCCCAGACACCUACGGGUGGCUGCAGUCGAGAAUCUUCGGCAAUGGGCGAAAGCCUGACCGAGCGAUGCCGCGUGCGGGAUGAAGGUCUUUGGAUUGUAAACCGCUGUCGAGGGGGAUUAAGGGUAACUUGAAUGAUCCCUGGAGGAAGGACGGGCUAAGUUCGUGCCAGCAGCCGCGGUAAUACGAACCGUCCAAACGUUAUUCGGAAUCACUGGGCUUACAGAGUUCGUAGGCUGCUCGAAAAGUUGGGUGUGAAAUCCCUCGGCUCAACCGAGGAAUUGCGCUCAAAACUACCGAGCUAGAGGGAGAUAGAGGUAAGCGGAACUGAUGGUGGAGCGGUGAAAUGCGUUGAUAUCAUCAAGAACACCGGUGGCGAAUGCGGCUUACUGGGUCUCACCUGACGCUGAGGAACGAAAGCUAGGGGAGCGAACGGGCAUUAGAUACCCCGGUAGUCCUAGCUGUAAACGAUGAGCACUAGUCGAGGGAACUCCACAGUUUCCCGGCCGUAGCGAAGUUGUUCAGUGCUCCGUCUGGGGGAGUAUGGGUCGCAGGCUGAAACUCAAGGACGACGGGGGCUCGACAAGCGAUGCAGGAUGUGGCCUUAGUCCGAGGCCUUACGCCGCUAAGAAAGUUAUCCUAGACUUGACAUGCUUUAGAACCCAGCCGAAAGAUUGGGGUGCCCGCAAGGGAGCUUUAGCACAGGUGCUGCAUGGCUGUCGUCAGCUCGCGUCGUGAGAUGUCGGGUUAAGUCCCUUAACGAGCGAAACCCUUGUCCUUAGUUGCCAGCGAGUAAUGUCGGGGACUCUAAGGAGACUGCCGGUGUUAAACCGGAGGAAGGUGGGGAUGACGUCAAGUCCUCAUGGCCUUUAUGUUUAGGGCUGCACACGUCCUACAAUGGUGCGUACAAAGGGAAGCAAUCUCGUGAGAGCUAGCAAACCCCAAAAAACGCACCUCAGUUCGGAUUGCAGGCUGCAACUCGCCUGCAUGAAGCUGGAAUCGCUAGUAAUCGCGGGUCAGCAUACCGCGGUGAAUGUGUUCCUGAGCCUUGUACACACCGCCCGU